rnacentral:misc_RNA from 1 species
GAUGAAGAACGCAGCGAAAUGCGAUAAGUAAUGUGAAUUGCAGAAUUCAGUGAAUCAUCGAAUCUUUGAACCCACAUUGCGCCCCCUGGUAUUCCGGGGGGCAUGCCUGUUCGAGCGUCAUUUCAACCCUCAAGCUCUGCUUGGUAUUGAGUCCAUGUCAGCAAUGGCAGGCUCCAAAAUCAGUGGCGGCGCCGCUGGGUCCUGAACGUAGUAAUAUCUCUCGUUACAGGUGCUCGGCGUGCUUCUGCCAAAACCCCAAUUUUUCUAUGGUUGACCUCGGAUCAGGUAGGGAUACCCGCUGAACUUAAGCAUAUCAAUAAGCGGAGGA